rnacentral:rRNA from 1 species
AUUGAACGCUGGCGGCAGGCUUAACACAUGCAAGUCGAGCGGAGCGAGGGUGCUUGCACCUUAGCUUAGCGGCGGACGGGUGAGUAAUGCUUAGGAAUCUGCCUAUUAGUGGGGGACAACAUUCCGAAAGGAAUGCUAAUACCGCAUACGCCCUACGGGGGAAAGCAGGGGAUCUUCGGACCUUGCGCUAAUAGAUGAGCCUAAGUCGGAUUAGCUAGUUGGUGGGGUAAAGGCCUACCAAGGCGACGAUCUGUAGCGGGUUUGAGAGGAUGCACGGCACCAGGGGGCCUGGACCACGGCCCACACUCCUAGGGGAGGCAGAGGGGGGGAAUAUUGGACAAUGGGCGGAAGCCUACUCCGGCCAUGCGGGGUGUGUGAAGAAGGCCUUUUGGUUGUAAAGCACUUUAAGGGAGGAGGAGGAUACUUAGAUUAGUACUCUGGGAUGGUGGCCUUUACUCGCAAAAUAAGCACCGGCUAACUCUGUGCCAGCCCCCGCCGUAA